AAUGGGCGAAAGCCUGAUCCAGCAAUGCCGCGUGAGUGAUGAAGGCCUUAGGGUUGUAAAGCUCUUUUACCCGGGAUGAUAAUGACAGUACCGGGAGAAUAAGCUCCGGCUAACUCCGUGCCAGCAGCCGCGGUAAUACGGAGGGAGCUAGCGUUGUUCGGAAUUACUGGGCGUAAAGCGCACGUAGGCGGCUUUGUAAGUUAGAGGUGAAAGCCCGGGGCUCAACUCCGGAACUGCCUUUAAAACUGCAUCGCUUGAAUCCAGGAGAGGUGAGUGGAAUUCCGAGUGUAGAGGUGAAAUUCGUAGAUAUUCGGAAGAACACCAGUGGCGAAGGCGGCUCACUGGACUGGUAUUGACGCUGAGGUGCGAGAGCGUGGGGAGCAAACAGGAUUAGAUACCCUGGUAGCCCACGCCGUAAACGAUGAUAACUAGCUGUCGGGGCACUUGGUGCCUCGGUGGCGCAGCUAACGCAUUAAGUUAUCCGCCUGGGGAGUACGGCCGCAAGGUUA
rnacentral:rRNA from 1 species